CGCGCUGUGCGAAGGCGGGUCGCCCCCUCCCCCCGCUUAGCGCUCCCGGGCUGGUCCUGGGCCCUGCUGGGUGACCCCACGCUGGGCCUCGCUUUGCUCCUCCCUACAAUGGGACGAAGACGCCUCCCCGACGCUUAGAAGAGGCGUCGCCGACAGCGUGCUGUAUAUAUUAAGAUGGAAAUGUGACCGGUGGCUAAUAAAACAACGAUAUUUCCGAUUCCUUUCCCCCCUCCCGCACCGUCCCUCCUCGGAACCCCCAGCCCGCGUCGACGACGGGAACCCAGAGCACCCUCUGUUUCUCCUCCGCCGCGCGUGGCUUAAAUCUGUGAAUUUUAAUGAGGGGAAGAAACUGUUGCGAUGUUUCCUCGGGAGGAGAGGCGAUUUCCUUUUGUUGGAGAAGUCUCUUUUCAAAAAUGUGAUUUUUGCGGUGUAACGCGGCCAGGUUGGAAAUCAGAAGCCUCCCGGCUUUUCUCCCGGGGGCCGGGCGGGAGGAGGCGGAAUGAGAUUUAGCGGCAAGGGUUUCUCCUACUUCGGCAAAGGGCGGGGACUCCCAGUUCCGCUGGAGAGCGCGGCUGCGAGGGCGAGGUCGUCGGUGGGUCGGCCCCUUCUCCGUCCGUCCCGGGGCUCCGCUUCCGAAGGGGGAUCCGAGGUACCGGUAGGAGCCGGGUCCCGGUGUCCCCCCCCGGACCCUCACCAUCCUGGUUACAGAUGGACCGUCCGAUACCCCUGCUUCUUCUCUCUGUCCCUGAUUCAGCCCCAGUGGUCCAGCUUGGACAAGUCCAG